rnacentral:rRNA from 1 species
AACGCUAGCUACAGGCUUAACACAUGCAAGUUGAGGGGCAGCAUGGUCUUAGCUUGCUAAGGCCGAUGGCGACCGGCGCGCGGGUGAGUAACACGUAUCCAACCUGCCGUCUACUCUUGGACAGCCUUCUGAAAGGAAGAUUAAUACAAGAUGGCAUCAUGAGUCCGCAUGUUCACAUGAUUAAAGGUAUUCCGGUAGACGAUGGGGAUGCGUUCCAUUAGAUAGUAGGCGGGGUAACGGCCCACCUAGUCUUCGAUGGAUAGGGGUUCUGAGAGGAAGGUCCCCCACAUUGGAACUGAGACACGGUCCAAACUCCUACGGGAGGCAGCAGUGAGGAAUAUUGGUCAAUGGGCGAGAGCCUGAACCAGCCAAGUAGCGUGAAGGAUGACUGCCCUAUGGGUUGUAAACUUCUUUUAUAAAGGAAUAAAGUCGGGUAUGUAUACCCGUUUGCAUGUACUUUAUGAAUAAGGAUCGGCUAACUCCGUGCCAGCAGCCGCGGUAAUACGGAGGAUCCGAGCGUUAUCCGGAUUUAUUGGGUUUAAAGGGAGCGUAGAUGGAUGUUUAAGUCAGUUGUGAAAGUUUGCGGCUCAACCGUAAAAUUGCAGUUGAUACUGGAUAUCUUGAGUGCAGUUGAGGCAGGCGGAAUUCGUGGUGUAGCGGUGAAAUGCUUAGAUAUCACGAAGAACUCCGAUUG